rnacentral:rRNA from 1 species
UGGGGAAUAUUGGGCAAUGGGCGCAAGCCUGACCCAGCAACGCCGCGUGAAGGAAGAAGGCUUUCGGGUUGUAAACUUCUUUUGUCAGGGACGAGGAGAAGACGGUACCUGACGAAUAAGCCACGGCUAACUACGUGCCAGCAGCCGCGGUAAUACGUAGGUGGCAAGCGUUGUCCGGAUUUACUGGGUGUAAAGGGCGCGCAGGCGGCGUGCCAAGUCAGCGGUCAAAGUUCCGGGCUCAACCCGGUGAUGCCGUUGAAACUGGUGUGCUUGAGUGCGUGCGAGGGAGGCGGAAUGCGUUGUGUAGCGGUGAAAUGCAUAGAUAUGACGCAGAACUCCGAUUGCGAAGGCAGCUUUCCAGCACGCCACUGGCGCUGAGGCACGAAAGCGUGGGGAUCGAACAGGAUUAGAUACCCUGGUAGU